UCUUAUUGCAAUGCUAUGCACAUACAGCAGCGAAGCUUGAAUUGUAAUCGGUGUUUACUUGCUAUUGCUGAUCGCCAGCAGUCAUGUGCGCCUGGUACUUCAGGGCGGUGCAGCAAUGAUACAUUUCGGACGACUUCGUUGAUUUUGUUUUUUGCUUACAUGGGGAUCAGCUUUACAUAUAUGCGUACACAAGGUGAUAGCAGACAGCAAGGUCAAGCAGUAACAUUUGACUUUGUAUAUACAAACAUACAUACACUUGUUCUGUCUUGUGUUCACCUUCGUCGAUUGGAAACCAACAACGAAAAUGCGUUUCAAUUCAAAGGUUGUAUGAAAGCAGUAAUACUGAAGAUUUUAUACCAAAACCGAGAGCAGGGCAGCCAAAUAGUAAUAUUUCGCAAUUAAAUUUAUUGUACGAUAAAAUGAAUUUUAUCAAAAUUUAAUAUAAAAAGACAAUAUAAGAACUGGGAUGUAACUAGUUUCAAAGCAACUAGUUGAGGACUAACACCAAACAAGUUGUACAUUAUUUUCGAAGAAUUUUUAAGAGUUGGUUUUAAAUUAACUGGUUUUAAAGUAACAAAUAAGCCAAGGAAUUGAAUGUAAAGCAGAACCAAUGUUCACACAUUUCCUAAAUUGCAUCCAAUGUCUUGUCGUCAUCAGAACGAAGACAGCUUUCGCUCUAAGAAAAGACAUUUUUUCGAUUGAAAUAAAUCCGUGAGCAAUUGCAUGUGCUCGGUUGACUGAUGAGAUGAACCAGAAAACUUUUACUGAAUAUCGUUUGACUUGAAGCAUAAUUACUUGGAUGGAUUUAGCUUAACUACUUGGAUCCGAUUGACGUUGGAAAAGGCAAUGUACCGGCAUAAGAGUCUAGGAAAUCUAUCAUCCGUAUGAAUGACAUCGGUUUAAUGUAUUUUAAACUGAAAAGAAAAUUCAAAAAUAAUAUUAUCAAUAGAAGAAGACUCGCAGAGUAUAGAAGCAUGUUAUAAAAGAGAAACCUUAACUAUAGGUAUAUAGAGGAUUAUUCAGGUUCAUAUAGAUUUUUUUACAUUUAGAGAUAUGUAUAAAUAAUGAGAAUAAAGCUGUUAACAAGACUAAUAA